GACGAACGCUGGCGGCGUGCUUAACACAUGCCAGUCGAGCGGAAAGGCCCUGCUUGCAGGGUACUCGAGUGGCGAACGGGUGAGUAACACGUGGGUGAUCUGCCCUGCACUUCGGGAUAAGCCUGGGAAACUGGGUCUAAUACCGGAUAGGAGCCAUUUUUAGUGUGAUGGUUGGAAAGUUUUUUCGGUGUAGGAUGAGCUCGCGGCCUAUCAGCUUGUUGGUGGGGUAAUGGCCUACCAAGGCGGCGACGGGUAGCCGGCCUGAGAGGGUGGACGGCCACAUUGGGACUGAGAUACGGCCCAGACUCCUACGGGAGGCAGCAGUGGGGAAUAUUGCACAAUGGGCGCAAGCCUGAUGCAGCGACGCCGCGUGGGGGAUGACGGCCUUCGGGCUGUAAACUCCUUUCGCUAGGGACGAAGCUUUUGUGACGGUACCUAGAUAAGAAGCACCGGCUAACUACGUG
rnacentral:rRNA from 1 species